GCAACCUAAAUGUCCAUUAACAGAUGUACGGUUAAAGAAUGUGGUACACAUACACAAUGGAGUACUCUUCAAUCAUAAGAAGAAUGAGAUUCAGUUAUUUACAACAAAAUGGAUGGAAUUGGAGGUCAUUAAGUUGAGUGAAAUAAGCGACGGAUGCAAAGCAAACCACGGAGAUCAACUUCAGUAUAGUCAAGAUGAAACAGACAUUGAGGCAAAAAUUGGAAUAGGUAAAUGAGUAUAAUAAUGCACUACCCC